GCCUACGGGGCGCAGCAGUGGGGAAUAUUGCGCAAUGGGCGAAAGCCUGACGCAGCGACGCCGCGUGAGGGAUGAAGGUCUUCGGAUCGUAAACCUCUGUUAGCAGGGAAGAACGGUCACUGUGCUAAUCAGCAGUGAAUUGACGGUACCUGCAAAGGAAGCACCGGCUAACUCCGUGCCAGCAGCCGCGGUAAUACGGAGGGUGCGAGCGUUAAUCGGAAUUACUGGGCGUAAAGCGCUCGUAGGCGGUAUGGCAAGUCAAGGGUGACAUCCCCGCGCUCAAAGUGGGAACUGCCUUUGAAACU
rnacentral:rRNA from 1 species